rnacentral:rRNA from 1 species
CACAGUAACGAUGGAUGCCCGCUGUUGGUACCUGGUAUCAGCGGCUAAGCGAAGCAUUAAGCAUCCCACCUGGGAGUACGCCGGCAACGGUGAACUCAAGGAAUUGACGGGGCCCGCACAAGCGGAGGAACAUGUGGUUUAAUUCGAUGAUACGCGAGGAACCUUACCCGGGCUUGAAUUGCAGAGGAAGGAUUUAGAGAUAAUGACGCCCUUCGGGGUCUCUGUGAAGGUGCUGCAUGGCUGUCGUCAG